ensembl:lncRNA
AUGGGGAAGUCCCAGAGCAAGCUUACUAAAUAUGAUACACCGGUAUUUUGUCAAAUGAAAAAAGUAUAUGGCCAGAAAUGCAUGCAAGAUAUGGGGAAAUUAAUUAAGUAUCAUGAUUUUCCAAAAGAGGGAACACUGAGUGUCAAAAGAUUGAAUGCUGUAAAGGAAUCAGUUGAAGAGGGUAGCGAGAAACUAAAAGGGUGUUGUGUGAAACAUAUGUGUGAAAAAUGUAAACAAACUGUGAAUUACUGGAUAGAGGAAGCAGAUAAGAGAGAAAGAAAAGCAAUGCAAAAAGAAUUAGCAGGUAGAAAGGAGGAAAAGAAAAUUGAAAAAUGUCAAGGAAAACCUACUAACCGCUCUGAUGUUUCUGUCUCUAAACAUGCACCGCCCCCCUAUCCUCACUAUCCCGUGGCGGAGCUGCAAGCCGUGAAAAUGGACCCUGACCUCGACUGCUCUCCACCAAGACCAACAGCACCACAGGCAGAAGCAGAACGGAGACAAGAAAUAGAGGAAGACCCAGAAAUGAUUCCUGAAAACCCCAAUGAAGAAGUUGAAGAGGAAAUAGCACGCAGAGCACCCCCAACAAGGAAAAGAAAAACAAGACAAACAGUAAAAGAAGAAAAUGGUUUGGUCUUUAGACCCUGGGAUGUGACUGAUAUGAAAGAAGCGAUGGCUCAUUUGCCGAGCCCUGACGAAGCAGGUAACAAAUUUUCCACAGAGUUAGUCACCUUCUGCCAAGAAUUCAGCCCCACCGUGCUUGAACUGAGAAGGCUGCUGGCAGUGAAACUGGGGGCUACGAGCUGGCAUAAAGUGAGCGGAAAGCUGCAGAAAGAAGACUGUCGGAGAGAACACUGUGAAUGGGAACACCGAGCUAACGUAGACUACCGCACAGCUGUUGAAGAGCUGGCUGAAGCCAUAAAAGUAGCAUUCCCGGUGCGUGUGGACACAGCAAAGAUUGGCAACUGCUGCCAGAGCAGAGAGGAGUCUGUUCAAGACUAUUACAACCGUCUAUAUCUGAUUUUUAAUAAACACAGCGGAUUAGAGGAGCCAGAGGGACGAGGGAAUCAACCUGGCACAUGGGAGUGUCAUCUGCGGAGCUGGUUUCUGAAUGGACUGAGACCUGAGAUUGCGCAAGCAGUCAAAACCAGCUACAUUGAAUGGAAAAGUGGACGACUAAAUUUGCUUUAUUAUUUUGAGUUUAUUACAUUUAAUCUUGGUAAAGUAGUAAGAGUUUUAAACAUUGUAAUGAUUUUUUGUUUUAAUUAGUGAUCAAUGAAUGAUAACAUGGGGAAAUUGUGGUAGAAAAAUGAAUUUCUAUUGUUUUUUGCAUGAUCUUAUAUGCUUAUGGAACAUUAUAUACUGCAUGUGUUUUCUUAGAACUGCUGUGUAGUCACAGUGAGAAAUGGGUUUGGGGCCUAAGCAUAAGACGUAUGGGUGACAGGAGAUCCACAUGGCCAUGUUGAGCUGAGAGGGGGAACAACUGGGAGACCCACAGGCGUCUGUCCAUGACCUAGGAGGUCAUCUAGGCCUUGAAUAUAGGGGGAACCAAUCUUUAGAAGAAUGAUAUAGUAGUGUGUUUUUGACUGUCUUUCUAUGUGUGGAAAAGUACAGCUGCUGAGAGUUUGUAACCUUGACUUGGAAAAGAGAUAUAAGGCUGAGGACCGCCCUCCCUUCUUUGUCACACUCUGCUGCAACUGUGUUUCCUGUGUGAUGUCUGACCUUCUUUGUAAAGAAUAAACCUUUUGAAAAUACUGAGAGCGAGUUUGUC